AUGGCCACCGCCUCCACCAUGUCCCUGCUCCCCAUCUCGCACCUCAAGCAGCUGCAGCAGCAGCGGCGCACGCGGCUCGCCAGCGCGCGCUCCGGGAAGGUGGUCGUGCUCGGCCGCCGGAGGCGACACGUCGUGCCGAGGGCCCGGCUGUUCGGUCCGGCCAUCUUCGAGGCGUCCAAGCUCAAGGUGCUGUUCGUGGGGGUGGACGAGGAGAAGCACCCGGGGAAGCUGCCCCGGACCUACACGCUCACCCACAGCGACGUGACGGCGCGGCUGACGCUGGCGGUGUCGCACACCAUCCACGCCGCGCAGCUGCAGGGCUGGUACAACCGCCUGCAGCGGGACGAGGUGGUGGCCGAGUGGAAGAAGGUGCAGGGCGCCAUGUCGCUGCACGUCCACUGCCACAUCUCCGGCGGCCACUUCCUGCUCGACCUCAUCGCGCCGCUCCGCUACUACAUCUUCCGCAAGGAGCUCCCCGUGGUUCUGAAGGCGUUCGUGCACGGCGACGGCAGCCUGUUCAGCCAGCACCCGGAGCUGGAGGAGGCCACGGUGUGGGUCUACUUCCACUCCAACAACCCCAACUUCAACCGCGUCGAGUGCUGGGGCCCGCUCCGCGACGCCGCCGCGCCCUACGACGACGACAACGCCACCGCCGACUCCCCAGCCGCCGACGCGGCCGUAGCGACCACGGCAACGGCCGCAAACGAGCAGGCGAUACGCGCGGGCCAGUGGCCGCGGCGGUGCCCCGGGCAGUGCGACUGCUGCUUCCCGCCCGAGUGCCUCAUCCCCUGGCCGCAGGAGCACGAAAUGGCCGCCGACGCCGGCCAGGCGCCGCCGCAGUGA
rnacentral:rRNA from 1 species